rnacentral:rRNA from 1 species
GAUGAACGCUGGCGGCGUGCCUAAUACAUGCAAGUCGAGCGAACGGACGAGAAGCUUGCUUCUCUGAUGUUAGCGGCGGACGGGUGAGUAACACGUGGAUAACCUACCUAUAAGACUGGGAUAACUUCGGGAAACCGGAGCUAAUACCGGAUAAUAUUUUGAACCGCAUGGUUCAAAAGUGAAAGACGGUCUUGCUGUCACUUAUAGAUGGAUCCGCGCUGCAUUAGCUAGUUGGUAAGGUAACGGCUUACCAAGGCAACGAUGCAUAGCCGACCUGAGAGGGUGAUCGGCUACACUGGAACUGAGACACGGUCCAGACUCCUACGGGAGGCAGCAGUAGGGGAUCUUCCGCAAUGGGCGAAAGCAUGACGGAGCAACGCCGCGUGAGUGAUGAAGGUCUUCGGAUCGUAAAACUCUGUUAUUAGGGAAGAACAUAUGUGUAAGUAACUGUGCACAUCUUGACGGUACCUAAUCAGAAAGCCACGGCUAACUACGUG